GGGUUUGUUUUCCUUUUUUGGCACAGGUAGGCGGGGGGCGGUGUUUGACGGCAUGCCGGCACACCUGCGGCGCAUCGGACGUCAUCAGUGGGAGCAUUUAGGGAGCUGAGUGAUGGACGUCUGAUGUCGGAUUAUUGUCGUUCCCAUAAGUGCCUGUCUCGCCGCCUGCUCGCCUGCCUGUUUCUUUGUGCGCUGGCCCAUUUUUGGAUCUAUGACAGAGACUUACCUGGCGCUGGCCUGCGAUCGUUGUUAUUCCUGUAUUCUGGUGUUUCAAGUAGCUCUGGUUUGCCCAUCUAUCUGUCUGCAUACCUCGGCU